GCCAGCAUGAUGUAGUGGUCUGGGUGCUGGACUGUGACUCUGGAGACCAGGGUUUGAAUCCCUGCUCAGCCA
rnacentral:tRNA from 1 species